rnacentral:tRNA from 1 species
GGUGGCUCAGUGGUAGAGUGCUUGCCUGGCAUGCAUGAGACCCUGGGUUCGAUUCCUCAGCACCA